UACGUAGGGUGCGAGCGUUGUCCGGAAUUAUUGGGCGUAAAGAGCGUGUAGGCGGCCAAGCAGGUCAGCUGUGAAAACUCGAGGCUCAACCUCGAGACGUCGGUUGAAACCGCUUGGCUAGAGUCCGGAAGAGGAGAGUGGAAUUCCCGGUGUAGCGGUGAAAUGCGCAGAUAUCGGGAAGAACACCCGUGGCGAAGGCGGCUCUCUGGGACGGUACUGACGCUGAGACGCGAAAGCGUGGGGAGCGAACAGG
rnacentral:rRNA from 1 species